CAUUUAUCCAGAGAUUGUAAGGCACCCAAGGGCGAAUCAUCAGGGAAUGUUGGGAAAGGAAAACAACUUGCUACAGAGGAAAGGAUUUAUGCCAAGGAAGGAGCAAGAGCUGAGGAGUUAAACGAGGAGGAACGUGGGAACGAUGGUAAUAUUUUAACUGUCCUCUUAUUCUAGAAUAACUUACUCUUUUAUCUUUGAAGCGAGUAUGACGCGCCUAACUUGUAUUUACUACUUAGACUAUGAUCUUAUGAUUAUUAUCCCUAGUAGGACCUUAUUCGAAGUUGCUCGUGUUUUAACUAUAGAAGUUACACGAGGUUGGGAAUAGCACACUAAGUCUAGAAAGUAGUCUUCCACCGAUGCGAUUAUGAGGAAGCUAGUAGCUGAAGAACGAAUCUUAGGGACAUUCCGUAUGGGUAGUAUACGCGAUAUGUUGAGGGUGUGUAGUUCCGUAGCGGGAUCAUUAAAGGAUUUAGUAUCAGGAUAUUUGUGACUACUGGAGGAUAGGAACUCAUUGACUGUUCCAGUGGGUUUUUCUAAAUUUCCACCUUCGAUGUAUUAGGCCUGAUCAACCUAAUAUUGAGGGGGUGAUAUUCGGAAUCACAGCUGGUAAUGGACCUUGAUAGAAGGAUGUGUAAGAUGAAUUUGAAUUGAUUGAGGAUUAGUCGGAUUUGGGAGGAAAGUUCGUGUUAAGCAUUUGAUUGUAAAAGAUUAAGAUUUAAAUCUUUGGAAGUCGAUGAGUGUCGUAUAGACAUUGAUUGGUUAGUUCGUGUGAUUACUCCAAGUAGAGGUAAAAUAAGUCAAGAGAUUUAGUGCUGGAAAAGUAUUAAGUAGUUUCUCGGAAGUUAUGAAGUCAUAGGUUAUGUGAUUACUGAGUGGAAUUGUUAGAGACUAAAUAGGUUGGAUUUAAUCAGGUUUUAGAUGAUAGCUUGAUGGUAGCAAGAUUGAGAAGAAUUAACUCUGAACUAGAUUGUUAUAGUUGAGUUCGAGGAAUAAGUUUUGCUAAGCGUUUGAUUAAUAUGUGGAGACAUUACAGUCUUAAGAGAUGAAUUGUCACUUGAAAAGUAUUGGAUUAAUGAUUAAGUUGGAAGAAGAAAGUUUUAGCAUAAGUUGAAUACUUGAGGUUGUUGAUAUGGAUUCCAAAGAAAUAUGCUAAGAUUACUAAGUGAGAUUUACUAAGUUGGAUUGAAAUCUUAGGGUUAAGAUUGAAUAUUGAGAGUCGAGAAUCGCGUACGAGUAGGAGAUCUUAUGGUUGUAGGUGUGACAAUAGGAGUUGAAUCUUAGAAGAUUGAAGACCUGAAGGUGAGUUUCGGGUUAAGACCAUUGAGGUAUAGUAUAAGAGAGAUCUUGAAGUAAAGGAAUUCUGGGUUGUGUAGAGCGUUAAGGUUGGUUAUAAGUUGGUGAUCGAUUGAUGUUGAUUAUGAGGUUGCGGACAUAACGACCAUGUGAUAAGAUUUGAAUGGUGUUAGCAUAAUAAGUUAUGAUUACGGAUAUCAGGAUCAAGCGGUGAGUGUGAAAGCAUGACGACAGUUAUCAGGUCGUUUGUGUAAGCGAAGGAGUUAUAGUUUUAAGAAAUAAAUAUUCAUUUAAGAAGUGUUGGAGAGUUAAAGGAUAUUGGUGGUCCAAACUUAGUGAAGGUUUAGAUUUUAAGCCAAUCGAUUUGAUCACGAACGCGUGAGACAUGAACUCUUGUCAGGUUUUGAUCGAGAGACUAAGUAUUGGAACGAUUGGAGGAUGAUCAAGUUACAGAAAGGAAAGUGUUAGUAUUAAGAUGAAUACUUGAGGUUUUUAUAUUUGAACAAGUUCCGUAGAGUCUAAGGGUGAAUGGAACCUUGUCAUGGAUUUUGAUGAUGCAUAUUACGGUUAACAAGUGAAUCUUACUAAAGUUGAAUGAGAAUCCUAGGGCUAAGGUUGACCUAGUGAGCUGAGAUUCAUGUACACAUAAGAGAUUUAGUGGUGUUAGCGGUUACGAUAACGGUUAAAUCUCAGAAUGUUGAAGGAUCGGAUGAUAAAGUGGCUAGUUAAGUCCCUUGAGGUAUAGUUAUGAUUUGAUCUUCUAGAGGAUAAGUCUCGAUUUGUGCGAAGUGUUAGGGAUUUCAGUAAGUGUAAAUAGGUUUGAGUGAGGGAAGUUCUAAGGAAGAAGACGAUAAUACUAGAUUGUUAGAUAUUAAGAAGAGGAUUAUCAUAUAAGUUGUUGAUAAAUUGAUGUUGAAGGGGAUAAGAUUAGUGAAGGACAAGAAAUAAGGACAUAAGUCGAGCUUUAAUUCGAAUAGUGACUAAGUAGAAGUGUGAUUUCUUGGUGUGUGUAAAGAUAAUUACGAAGUUGGAGGUGUUUUAAUGGACUAGCGGUUUCCAAGGGGAUGAUUCGUCUAGGAGUUAUCGAACGGACAGGUGGAGUUUUGGACUGUAGAUGAAGAUCUCGAGGACAAGUUGAGUAUUUACUUUGAAAUGACAGAGAGGCACCGAGUUUAAGAAGAAUUUCGGACGACCGAAAGUAAAGAAGUAAGUGGCUAAGGUUGUGCGACUGCACGGAGUGCCAACCGGUAUCAUUUCAAGCAGAGAUCCGACGCAAGUACUCGAGUCAGACGACAUGAAGUUGAAUGAUGGUUUGUCUUUGGAGACGCCGACAGUUAGCAGUGGGGAUAGAAGAGUGAAACAAUUAAGGGGAGAACAGAUUGCUUAAGUAAAGGUUAUGAGGAACAAUGACACGGGCAAUACUACAUGAGAAUUGGGAGAUAAGAUCGAGGAACUGUAUCCCGGACUUUUUGCAGAACUCUGAGUUUCGAGGACGAAACUUUCUUUUUGGAGGGGAGUAUUGUAAGACCUGGAUUUGCAGAACAAGUUAAUUUCCGACUCACGCGUAAAAUCAGUGUAAGCGUGACAGGAGUUUGAUAUUUGAGAAAGAUUAAUGAAGAAGAAAGUUCAGGAAUUGCUUGAGGAAUGUUGCGUAGUUGCUUUCGGAGUUAGUGCGAUUCGUCUGCACACCUGCCUUAUGGCGAGCGUGUCCAGAAUAGGUUAUUUCGCUUCUAGAGCAACGUUUCAAGUGAGAUUUCAAAUCUUUGGAAAAUUUAAAGAUUCUCUUUAUUUUUCCUUCGACCAGCGUUUCAUUUCGGAACCCUGGACUGUACGCACGAUAGUAUUCACUUUUCGGAAGUCCGACGACGCUAAUUUCUUUGCUUCGAAACCCUAGAUUCAAGCGCUGAAUGAAGACUUUUUCUAUUCGGGACUUCUAACGAAGUUUCCGUCCGCGUUGCCAGAUUUGUUUCGACGUUUCCAAUCUUUCUUCAAAAGGAAGUUUUCUCAUCCGACAUCAAGUGCAAAAAGUAGUUUUGCGAUAUAUUUUGAAGCAUACUGCGUUCAAGCCAUUUUCUCACUUAAAUGAACCCGAUGCAAGUAUCGUCCUUUCUUGGAUCGAUACUUAGAUUAAUUGCAUAAUAUGACAACGUCAUAUUUGUUCUAAUUGUCUAACAGUUAUUCUUUAGCUCAGUUUUUACUCAUUUUCUUGUCGAUGGAUCGUUUUAUUUUGCCCAAAGUGAUCCAAAUUUAUAUUUUAUCAUUUCAUAGAGUCCUUCAUAAUUUUUAAUAUAGUAAUAUAUCAUGCUUAUAUUUUUCUCUUAAGCUCUAUGAGUUAAAUCCUACACUACCCAUAUCAACUCACACCCACAAAACUUGGAAUAUUCUUUUACCUUGGCUAUGCUUACUCAACGUUUCACAUUCUGAUGAUUACCACAAAUAUUUUAUAAUUCUCUCUUACUAAGUUCCUUAUUCUAUUCUUUCUCAAUUUCUGACUCAUGACCCACGGCCCCCCACUUGUUCAUGAAAAUAUCUUCUCCAGCAUAUCACCUUACACUCUCGUUUCUUUUCUUUCUCCCAACGCCAGACCCAUUUUCUUCUUCUCUUUCACGUUUUCUUUCUUUCUUCAGCAGACCCAUUUCUGCUCCUUCUCCCUUUCUUCUCCAUGGACAACCAGCCAUGAGCCACCACCACCACACACAAAAGCUCCAACCAUGGCCACUCCAAACAGCCAUGGACACGCGAGCACCACAGCCACCGCUGGCCACCAUCACCAUAGGUUGCUUCUAAUUAAUACUAUUGGCUUUUGUUUCGGUAUUAAAUCCUUCUAAAACAGCUCCUAACUUCUAUUGUUUCUAGUUUUCCUUUACUGUGUGGCUAUUUCUCUUUUAAAGAUGGUUUUGCUCUUUUGAUUUCAAAAGGGCUGAUGGUAAUAGUUUCAUGUGGAGAAAAAGUUGAGUUUUGAAAAGUGUUCCUUUCCCAGAAGUGAUUAUAAACUUUAAAACUAGUUUUCCUCAUGGUUUUUGCAUUUGUCUCACUUGUGUACUAUUAGUUUUGGAAGAAAUAUUUACCUUGACAUUUAAAGAAAAGGGCCGAGAGCAUCAUGAGGAUUUUAAGUUUGGAAUUAAAACUUUUUAUGAGUAUAUUAUUUUUUGAGCUGAAAGGUUUUAUAAACUAUUUGGGGAUCUAGUUGUGAAUGUGUUUUAGGGAUGAAAAUUGUAUGAAAAUAAUUUUAGGGCCUAAAACACAAUAUGUUUAGAAGUUUUGGGUUAAACUUGUGUUUUAAAAGUCUUGGGGUUUGUUUGAUAAAUUUAUAAAAGAUUGAGGGUUGAAAAAGAACUUACUUUUAUGUGAGGACCUUUUCAUGAUUAUGUGCUUAUCAAGGGACUAGGGUUGAAUUAUUUAAGAGUUGAGGAGUUGUUUGCGAAAUGUGUUUUUAAGGACCUUUCUUUAAAACUCACAAAUAUUUUAUCUUUGGACUUUAGUCCUUGAAACAUAAAGUUUGUGCAUUUAGCCUAAGUGAGCUAGAAAGAUUGGCUAAGUUUGUUCUGGAACUUUAGAUGUGACUUUAGAGGCUAAGGUUUAGUAUGUGAACUUGUGAAGGGUACGAAGGACGGAAGCGCUUGACGACGAAGCCAAAGAACAAACGGAAGUGAGCCAACACGGGAAAGCAAAGAUAUGACUGGAUUUGAUUUGAGUCGCAACUUAGUAAGGAAAGCGCCGAAGAUGUCGAUGGCCGACUGGUUCUCGGUGGUCUCUCCCUCGGGGGGGGAUCAGAUAUGAGCUGCAGGAUCGGGAUGCCUCACCGCUUGGGUGAUCGAUGUUGCUGGUCACCGGGCGACGUAUCGGGGAAGGGUCAUGGAGGACCGGACUGACGAGCGUGGACGACUGACGAAAGGAGUUCUAUGGCGCAUAGAGUUGAGCUUCAACUUGCCGACUUCAGAUCGUUGUGGGUUUGGCACUGGGAGGUUAGGUUUGGGCAGGCGUCAUGUUUUGUGUAGAGCUCUGAUUCGUUUUGCUUUUGGGAUCGGGUAGGUUUCCGACGCAUGACUUUUCGUGUGGUUCUCUUACUGAGGGAUCACAGUGAGUCAGUUGGACCAUAGGGGUCUUUGCUUAGGCCAUAUUGAGGCCGACUUUCUCCUAGUGGUUUGUAAUUAUAAUUUUCUCACUUACACUUCUGGGUCUGUAUAUAUUUGCCUACGGGCACACUGCUUUGGAGUCACUGCGAGUGCGCGUGACAUGGAGUGCAGCUGAGGCUGCACAUGUACAUAUGUUGUAUAUCGGUUAGUUGAGUAGUUGGGUUUUGUCUUUA